GGACAAAUCACGUUGAAACACCGGUUCAAGUACGAUCACCGAAGUUAAGCAAAGUCGAGGUUAGUUAAUGCCUAGAUGGGUGACUGCUUGGGAAUACCAAGUGCUGUAAG